GACGACGCUGGCGGCGUGCCUAACACAUGCAAGUCGAACGGAGAUUAUAGCAAUGUAAUCUUAGUGGCGGACGGGUGAGUAACGCGUGGGCAACCUACCUCUAACCGGGGGAUAACACAGGGAAACUUGUGCUAAUACCGCAUAAGAUCAUAGGAGGACAUCCUCUAGUGAUCAAAGGAGAAAUCCAGUGAGAGAUGGGCCCGCGUCCGAUUAGCUAGUUGGCGGUGUAACGGACCACCAAGGCGACGAUCGGUAGCCGAACUGAGAGGUUGAUCGGCCACAUUGGGACUGAGACACGGCCCAGACUCCUACGGGAGGCAGCAGUGGGGAAUAUUGCGCAAUGGGGGAAACCCUGACGCAGCAACGCCGCGUGAAGGAUGAAGGUUUUCGGAUUGUAAACUUCUUUGAUGAGGGACGAAAGAAAUGACGGUACCUCAAAAACAAGCCACGGCUAACUACGUG
rnacentral:rRNA from 1 species